rnacentral:lncRNA from 1 species
AGAUUAGGAUUUACAACCACCGAAUACUGGGUAGAAACCAUCGACUCUGAUGAGGAUAAAAUAUAGGGUUUACAGCUACCGAAUACUGGGUAGAAGACCAAAAACUCAGCUGAGGAUAAGGCAAAUGAUUGCCGGCUACUGAACAAUUAUCCAACCAUUCCACAAGGAAGCACAGACUCCGAUAGGGAGAAAAUAACAACACAGGAUUUACAAAUAUCGAAUACGG